UACGGAGGGUGCAAGCAUUAAUCGGAAUUAUUGGGCGUAAAGGGCGCGUAGGCGGAAAGAUAAGUCAGAUGUGAAAUCCCGAAACUCAAUUUCGGGGCUGCAUUUGAAACUAUCUAUCUUGAGGAUUGGCGGAGAGAACGGAAUUCCACGUGUAGCGGUGAAAUGCGUAGAUAUGUGGAAGAACACCUGUGGCGAAAGCGGUUCUCUAGCUUAUACCUGACGCUGAGGCGCGAGAGCAAGGGGAGCAAACAGG
rnacentral:rRNA from 1 species